CACGUAGGCACCAAGCGUUGUCCGGAUUUAUUGGGCGUAAAGAGCUCGUAGGCGGUUCGGUAAGUCGGGUGUGAAAACUUUGGGCUCAACCCAAAGCGUGCACUCGAUACCGCCAUGACUAGAGUUCGGUAGGGGAGUGGGGAAUUCCUAGUGUAGCGGUGAAAUGCGCAGAUAUUAGGAGGAACACCGGUGGCGAAGGCGCCACUCUGGGCCGAAACUGACGCUGAGGAGCGAAAGCGUGGGUAGCAAACAGG
rnacentral:rRNA from 1 species